rnacentral:rRNA from 1 species
AGCGAACGCUGGCGGCAGGCCUAACACAUGCAAGUCGAACGAACUCUUCGGAGUUCGUGGCGGACGGGUGAGUAACACGUGGGAACGUGCCAUUAGGUUCGGAAUAACCCAGGGAAACUUGUGCUCAUACCGAAUGUGCCCUUCGGGGGAAAGAUUUAUCGCCUUUAGAGCGGCCCGCGUCUGAUUAGCUAGUUGGUGAGGUAAAGGCUCACCAAGGCGACGAUCAGUAGCUGGUCUGAGAGGAUGAUCAGCCACAUUGGGACUGAGACACGGCCCAAACUCCUACGGGAGGCAGCAGUGGGGAAUCUUGCGCAAUGGGCGAAAGCCUGACGCAGCCAUGCCGCGUGAAUGAUGAAGGUCUUAGGAUUGUAAAAUUCUUUCACCGGGGACGAUAAUGACGGUACCCGGAGAAGAAGCCCCGGCUAACUUCGUG